UGCUCAACGGAACCUGGCAACGGGCGAGGAUGAUAUCGUGCCCGUCCCGUUGUUAGAGAUUAGCACUGUAUUAACGCCAAAGCAUGUAUUAUCAGUUUGUUCAGAGUUAUGUCCUACGCGUAUUUGUUGUAUUUCUUACACGCUCGAUGCAAUAAAUCAUGGGCAGCAGGGUUGGCAUGGCUUUAACUCCGGCCGCGACCUGUACCAAAGCCGGUUGGCGACGACUCCUGCCAUAUUUAACCAAGCACACGCCUCAUCCUCUUCCCCAACUCAUCAAGAACCCCAACUCUUUAGCAAUUCAAAGAUCUGCAGCUGUUCAUCAGUCCAACCUCCCCAUCCUCUCUAGUUCUUCUUCAGCGAAACCAGGCACUGUGUCUAUUUCUUCAUCCUCAUCGUUGAAUCCGAACUCUGUACCUGAAUAAGAACGACGGCCGCCGCAAGCACCAGGACGGAUUCCGCUCCAACGAACUGCAAUAUCACAUCCACGAAUAGAGGAGUCCCAGGCUGUUGUACUAGAUGCUCACUGGCAUGCUCGCCAUCGAGCUCCAGCGCACCUCCUGGCCGGCCAUCAUGCCUCACCACGGCGGCAGUGCGGCGCUGCGAGCUAACUCGGGCGGCUGAGGAGGGCUUCUUGGCGAGGCGCAGUGGCAUCAACGGUGAGUCGGGGCGGCGCCCACCUUCGUCCAGGCCGACAGCGAGUCGAGGCGGCGCCUCCUUCUCAUGCUCGGAAGUGAUGAGGACGCGGCGACCAAGGGCUCGGUGCUGUCUGGUCGGAAUGCGAGGACGACCGCCUUGAGGGCUGCGAAGGCGACGUCGUAGGCCGCCGAGAUGGGGUGCUUCGGGGCGAGGUGGUAGUUGACGGAGACGACGACGGCGUGGACCGCGACGGCGAGGGUCGCCACUUAGGGUACGUCGCGUUCCUGCUCUUGAUGGUGGCGCUCUUCUACCUCCUCGGGGACACCGCGUCCGAGACUUCUGCGCCUCGCUCGAGGGACUCUUCGCCGCGCUGCGCCUCCUGCCCGCCGUGGCCGGCGUCACGCUCCUCUCACUCGGCAACGGUGCACCGAAUGUCUUCGCCAGCGUCGUCUCCUUCGCCGCAACUAGCGUGCUCGGAGGCACGCUCUUCGUGUCCACCAGGGGUGGCCGAGGUCGUCACGGUCGCUGCCGGGUCACGCGGCGGAGCUAUCGUGAAGCUGCGCAGGUUCGUGCGUGAGCUCUGCUUCCUCUUCUUCGCGCUCUGCUUCCUCGUGGACGUGCUCGCGACUGGCACGAUCACGGUCGUCGCGUCCUUCGUCUCCCUCUAAGCCGCCUAGUCGUCCUCAUCUGAUUCUCUUGAAGUACUGUGGUUUUUUUUUUUGUUUUCUCUCAGUCCUCUUGUACCCUUAAUUUGUACAGAUUUUUCUUGAUCUCAUUCCUAUUUGGUAAAAAGGACCUGUAUAUUUUUUUUUCAGAUCCGAAUGGGUCAGUGUUAAGAGAAUGUUACUUUUGUUCA